ACGUGCGGCGCCUCCCAAGUGUUGGCCGCUGCGCAUGCGGACAGCCCACCCCCAGGAAAGAAUUAGGAGAGAAGCAAGGCAACCCCGGAAGCACGCCAAUGUAUAAAACCCCGAGUCAAAUGUCAAACGUCAAACCGCGCACUUGCAUCUCCCAGGUUUGUUGCCUGAUGUACAGCAAGUAAAUACACCGAGACACAGGCACACAGAAAGAGGUUUAAAGAUAAUAACAAGAUGAAUAGACCCCACAAUCUCAAGAGGACCUCUUUGGCAUUUGUUUUCUGAAGCCUUGGAAAGUCUUCAUUGGCCAUACUAAAAAAUGGUUCCUUUGCCCUUCACCUCCAACCACCCACCCAUGAUCAAGG